GAUCCCAUCCAGCACACCACAUGAAAUUUAAUUAUCACACUAUGUUUGGGUCUUAACCAGACUUAUUGAACAAUGAACCAGUGCAAAAUGAUGGUACCCUGCUGCUGCUAUUGCUGGCUAUAUGACCAGUUUUACUAGUGCUACUCCUGGAUAUUCAAGUUUAUUUUUUCUUCUCUAGUGGGUAUAAAAUGGCAUACUGUGAAAUUGUUUUGUGCUUAAUUAAUAGAACGAAUGAGGACUAUAAUAUGUGAAUUGUCUACUACAUGUUCAUAGUUCUUAUCCAUUUUACUUAAAUGUAAUGUAUUCAUAAUGAAUUUAAAUGUGCCCUUGGCAUAUCACAGAUGUUAUUCCUAUCAUACGUGAUUCAAAAAUUGUAAUUAUUAGCCUUUAAAUGUUUUCAUCAUACAAAGAAUUUUAAAUGUUAGAUAUUAUAAUGUCAAACUUCUA